AUUGAACGCUGGCGGCAGGCCUAACACAUGCAAGUCGAGCGGCAGCGGAAAGUAGCUUGCUACUUUGCCGGCGAGCGGCGGACGGGUGAGUAAUGUCUGGGAAACUGCCUGAUGGAGGGGGAUAACUACUGGAAACGGUAGCUAAUACCGCAUAACGUCGCAAGACCAAAGAGGGGGACCUUCGGGCCUCUUGCCAUCAGAUGUGCCCAGAUGGGAUUAGCUAGUAGGUGGGGUAACGGCUCACCUAGGCGACGAUCCCUAGCUGGUCUGAGAGGAUGACCAGCCACACUGGAACUGAGACACGGUCCAGACUCCUACGGGAGGCAGCAGUUGGGAAUAUUGCACAAUGGGCGCAAGCCUGAUGCAGCCAUGCCGCGUGUAUGAAGAAGGCCUUCGGGUUGUAAAGUACUUUCAGCGGGGAGGAAGGUGCUGUGGUUAAUAACCACAGCAAUUGACGUUACCCGCAGAAGAAGCACCGGCUAACUCCGUGCCAGCCGCCGCAGUAACAC
rnacentral:rRNA from 1 species